AGUCGAGCGGUAGAGAGGUGCUUGCACCUCUUGAGAGCGGCGGACGGGUGAGUAAAGCCUAGGAAUCUGCCUGGUAGUGGGGGAUAACGCUCGGAAACGGGCGCUAAUACCGCAUACGUCCUACGGGAGAAAGCAGGGGACCUUCGGGCCUUGCGCUAUCAGAUGAGCCUAGGUCGGAUUAGCUAGUUGGUGAGGUAAUGGCUCACCAAGGCGACGAUCCGUAACUGGUCUGAGAGGAUGAUCAGUCACACUGGAACUGAGACACGGUCCAGACUCCUACGGGAGGCAGCAGUGGGGAAUAUUGGACAAUGGGCGAAAGCCUGAUCCAGCCAUGCCGCGUGUGUGAAGAAGGUCUUCGGAUUGUAAAGCACUUUAAGUUGGGAGGAAGGGCAUUAACCUAAUACGUUAGUGUUUUGACGUUACCGACAGAAUAAGCACCGGCUAACUCUGUGCCAGCAGCCGCGGUAAUACAGAGGGUGCAAGCGUUAAUCGGAAUUACUGGGCGUAAAGCGCGCGUAGGUGGUUCGUUAAGUUGGAUGUGAAAUCCCCGGGCUCAACCUGGGAACUG
rnacentral:rRNA from 1 species